rnacentral:rRNA from 1 species
UACGUAGGGAGCAAGCGUUGUCCGGAAUCAUUGGGCGUAAAGCGCGCGUAGGCGGCCCGGUAAGUCCGCUGUGAAAGUCGGGGGCUCAACCCUCGAAUGCCGGUGGAUACUGUCGGGCUAGAGUGCGGAAGAGGCGAGUGGAAUUCCUGGUGUAGCGGUGAAAUGCGCAGAUAUCAGGAGGAACACCAAUUGCGAAGGCAGCUCGCUGGGACGUGACUGACGCUGAGACGCGAAAGCGUGGGGAGCAAACAGG